rnacentral:rRNA from 1 species
UACGUAGGGGGCAAGCGUUGUCCGGAUUUAUUGGGCGUAAAGAGCGUGUAGGCGGCCAGGUAGGUCUGCUGGUGAAAACUCGAGGCUUAACCUCGACGCUGUCGGCGGAAACCAUCUGGCUAGAGUCCGGAAGAGGAGAAUGGAAUUCCCGGUGUAGCGGGUGGAAAUGCGCAGAUAAUCGGGAAGAACACCCGUGGCGA